GCGAACCGGGGGAACUGAAACAUCUAAGUACCCCGAGGAAAAGAAAUCAACCGAGAUUCCCCCAGUAGCGGCGAGCGAACGGGGAGCAGCCCAGAGUCUGAAUCAGCUUGUGUGUUAGUGGAACGGUCUGGAAAGUCCGACGGUACAGGGUGAUAGUCCCGUACACCAAAAUGCACAGGCUGUGAACUCGAAGAGUAGGGCGGGACACGUGGUAUCCUGUCUGAAUAUGGGGGGACCAUCCUCCAAGGCUAAAUACUCCUGACUGACCGAUAGUGAACCAGUACCGUGAGGGAAAGGCGAAAAGAACCCCGGCGAGGGGAGUGAAAAAGAACCUGAAACCGUGUACGUACAAGCAGUGGGAGCACCUUCGGGUGUGACUGCGUACCUUUUGUAUAAUGGGUCAGCGACUUAUAUUCUGUAGCAAGGUUAACCGUAUAGGGGAGCCGCAGGGAAACCGAGUCUUAACUGGGCGUUAAGUUGCAGGGUAUAGACCCGAAACCCGGUGAUCUAGCCAUGGGCAGGUUGAAGGUUGGGUAACACUAACUGGAGGACCGAACCGACUAAUGUUGAAAAAUUAGCGGAUGACUUGUGGCUGGGGGUGAAAGGCCAAUCAAACCGGGAGAUAGCUGGUUCUCCCCGAAAGCUAUUUAGGUAGCGCCUCGUGAACUCAUCUUCGGGGGUAGAGCACUGUUUCGGCUAGGGGGUCAUCCCGACUUACCAACCCGAUGCAAACUACGAAUACCGAAGAAUGUUAUCACGGGAGACACACGGCGGGUGCUAACGUCCGUCGUGAAGAGGGAAACAACCCAGACCGCCAGCUAAGGUCCCAAAGUCAUGGUUAAGUGGGAAACGAUGUGGGAAGGCACAGACAGCCAGGAUGUUGGCUUAGAAGCAGCCAUCAUUUAAAGAAAGCGUAAUAGCUCACUGGUCGAGUCGGCCUGCGCGGAAGAUGUAACGGGGCUAAACCAUGCACCGAAGCUGCGGCAGCGACACUAUGUGUUGUUGGGUAGGGGAGCGUUCUGUAAGCCUGCGAAGGUGUGCUGUGAGGCAUGCUGGAGGUAUCAGAAGUGCGAAUGCUGACAUAAGUAACGAUAAAGCGGGUGAAAAGCCCGCUCGCCGGAAGACCAAGGGUUCCUGUCCAACGUUAAUCGGGGCAGGGUGAGUCGACCCCUAAGGCGAGGCCGAAAGGCGUAGUCGAUGGGAAACAGGUUAAUAUUCCUGUACUUGGUGUUACUGCGAAGGGGGGACGGAGAAGGCUAUGUUAGCCGGGCGACGGUUGUCCCGGUUUAAGCAUGUAGGCUGGUUGUCCAGGCAAAUCCGGAUAAUCAAGGCUGAGGUGUGAUGACGAGGCACUACGGUGCUGAAGUAACAAAUGCCCUGCUUCCAGGAAAAGCCUCUAAGCAUCAGGUAACAUCAAAUCGUACCCCAAACCGACACAGGUGGUCAGGUAGAGAAUACCAAGGCGCUUGAGAGAACUCGGGUGAAGGAACUAGGCAAAAUGGUGCCGUAACUUCGGGAGAAGGCACGCUGGUGUGUAGGUGAAGCCCCUGCGGGUGGAGCUGAGACCAGUCGAAGAUACCAGCUGGCUGCAACUGUUUAUUAAAAACACAGCACUGUGCAAACACGAAAGUGGACGUAUACGGUGUGACGCCUGCCCGGUGCCGGAAGGUUAAUUGAUGGGGUUAUCCGUAAGGAGAAGCUCUUGAUCGAAGCCCCGGUAAACGGCGGCCGUAACUAUAACGGUCCUAAGGUAGCGAAAUUCCUUGUCGGGUAAGUUCCGACCUGCACGAAUGGCGUAAUGAUGGCCAGGCUGUCUCCACCCGAGACUCAGUGAAAUUGAACUCGCUGUGAAGAUGCAGUGUACCCGCGGCAAGACGGAAAGACCCCGUGAACCUUUACUAUAGCUUGACACUGAACAUUGAGCCUUGAUGUGUAGGAUAGGUGGGAGGCUUUGAAGCGUGGACGCCAGUCUGCGUGGAGCCAACCUUGAAAUACCACCCUUUAAUGUUUGAUGUUCUAACGUUGGCCCCUUACCGGGGUUGCGGACAGUGUCUGGUGGGUAGUUUGACUGGGGCGGUCUCCUCCCAAAGCGUAACGGAGGAGCACGAAGGUUAGCUAAUCCUGGUCGGACAUCAGGAGGUUAGUGCAAUGGCAUAAGCUAGCUUGACUGCGAGCGUGACGGCGCGAGCAGGUGCGAAAGCAGGUCAUAGUGAUCCGGUGGUUCUGAAUGGAAGGGCCAUCGCUCAACGGAUAAAAGGUACUCCGGGGAUAACAGGCUGAUACCGCCCAAGAGUUCAUAUCGACGGCGGUGUUUGGCACCUCGAUGUCGGCUCAUCACAUCCUGGGGCUGAAGUAGGUCCCAAGGGUAUGGCUGUUCGCCAUUUAAAGUGGUACGCGAGCUGGGUUUAGAACGUCGUGAGACAGUUCGGUCCCUAUCUGCCGUGGGCGCUGGAGAAUUGAGGGGGGCUGCUCCUAGUACGAGAGGACCGGAGUGGACGCAUCACUGGUGUUCGGGUUGUCAUGCCAAUGGCACUGCCCGGUAGCUAAAUGCGGAAGAGAUAAGUGCUGAAAGCAUCUAAGCACGAAACUUGCCCCGAGAUGAGUUCUCCCUGAGACUUUAAGUCUCCUGAAGGAACGUUAAAGACGAUGACGUUGAUAGGCCGGGUGUGUAAGCGCAGCGAUGCGUUGAGCUAACCGGUACUAAUGAACCGUGAGGCUUAACC
rnacentral:rRNA from 1 species